GACUCCGCCCCCAGCCGCUGCCGGCCGGCCUGUUCCUUUGCUGUCCUCCCGUGACCCGGGGACAGACGCCGCUGGGGCGCCCUUUGGCGGUGCGAGCCGUCGUCCGCCCGCGGGCCGCCCCAAGGUGAUUUUGACCUUUCUCGCUACCGCGAGUUGGCCGGAGGCCGACCCCGCCGAAUUUUGGAUUCGCCCCAGGCUAAACAGCUUAUCUCUCUGAACCUGUCGCGGAGGAGCGGGGACCGCCGAGGUUCUGUGCCCUCGUCGCCCGGCCGCAAACGGGGCCAAGGUGACGUACCUGGCCGUGGCCCGGCCGGGCUAGAUUACCCCCAGCACCACACCCCCGCCGCCGGGACUGCAGACAGCGAAACUUCAAGCGUGGGGCGGCACAGUUUUUCUCAGACCAGAGCCAUCAAAACAGAACAAGCACUGUUCGGAAGUAGAGUUUGCAGUCCUUCGUGUAUCACGGUGGGAACGGAUUUAAAAUAAAACAAAACGUUGGACUGGACGACCGGGGCAGGUACGAACUGGCAAGAGUGAAGACAGAUGAUUGUAUUAGUCACAGCAUAGUAACCAGCAGCAGAAACGAGGUGGAGAGGAGAGAUUUGGCCAGAAAAUUGGUGGCCUUUUAGGUCCUUCACAUGAAGAUCCCGACCUACAUGAGGGAGAACUGUGGGCAGACUAAGGGCUCAAGCUGGCUUUGGAUCCUGCGAAUGCUUCCUACUGGCUGGAUGAUCUUGAUAUCACAACCAGGAUACUAAUGUUCAUACAGUCAAGAUACAAAACAUUUUUGUCACCACGGAAGAUCCUUCCUUUGGCCCUUUUUAUAGACAUGCCACUUACCUCUCACUCAAACGCUCUCCAUAAUUCUUGACAACCACUAAUUUGUUCUUUAUUUCUUUAAUUUUGUCAUUUGAAGAUUGUUACAUAAAUGGAAUCAUGCAAUAUAUAAUGUUUUGGGCAGCUUUCUUUCACUAGCAUAAUUUUCUAGCAAUUCUAUGAUCUAUGUUGCUGCACAGAUCAAUAGCAUCACUUCAUUGUAUGUAUGUACCAUGCAUACAUUUAUUUAGCCAUUUGCCCAUUGAAGGGCAUCUAGGUUGAUGCUAAUUUUUGGCUAUUACCAGUAAAAUUGCUGUAAAAACUUAUGAUCAAGUUUUUGUACAGCAUACAUUUUCACAUCUCUGGGAUCAAUGCCCAGAAGUGCAAUUGCUGACCACAUGGUAGUUACAUGUUCAGAUUUUUAAAAAUUGACCAAACGUUUUCUGGAGCAACACUGCCAUUUUUAUAUUCCCACCAGCAAUAUAUGAGCGAUCCAGUUUCUCCAAAUCUUUGCCAUCAGUUGUUAUUAUCAAUAUUCAAAAAAAAAUUUUUUAACCUGAUAGAUGUGAAAUAACAUCUUGUUUCGGUUUUAACUUGCAUUUCUCUAGUAGCUAAUGGAGCUGCACAUCUUUUCAAGUGUUUAUCUGCUACUCGUAU